rnacentral:misc_RNA from 1 species
GUGGGAGGGGGCUUGCCCCCGAUGGCGGUGUGUCAGUCACUAAUAUGUCGACUGAUUCACUGCAAUCGGGGGCAAGCCCCCUCCCAC